AGAGUUUGAUCCUGGCUCAGAACGAACGUUGGCGGCGUGCUUAACACAUGCAAGUCGAACGAGAACGGUUCCUUCGGGAACCAAGUAAAGUGGCGCACGGGUGAGUAACGCGUAGAUAACCUGUCCAGGUGUAUGGGAUAGCCCUUCGAAAAGGGGAUUAAUACCGUAUACGUUAGUCUGUUAUAAGACAGAUUAAGAAAGGUGGCCUCUAUUUAUAAGCUAUCGCAUUUGGAGGGGUCUGCGUACCAUUAGUUUGUUGGUGGGGUAAUGGCCUACCAAGACUUCGAUGGUUAGCGGGUCUGAGAGGAUGAUCCGUCACACUGGCACUGAAACACGGGCCAGACUCCUACGGGAGGCAGCAGUGAGGAAUAUUGCGCAAUGGGGGAAACCCUGACGCAGCGACGCCGCGUGGGUGAGGAAGGCUUUCGGGUCGUAAAGCCCUGUCAGAAGGGAAGAAAUGUGUAUAGGUUAAUAUCUUAUACACUUGACGUACCUUCAAAGAAGCACCGCUAACU
rnacentral:rRNA from 1 species